AUUCCUUUAAGGAUACACACCCAAUCAACAGCCUCUUAAUCUUUGGCUAUUACCUGAUUGGCCAGUUGUCCCCGCUAAAGUAAAUUGUUUUCUGGUUUUAAUCUCGGCCAGUACGAAAUCCAUGCUGUUUUAUCCGUGAAGAUUAACGAGAAAUAAAAACUGUUCCUGGUGAAUUUGAAUUCAAAGAAAGAUGAAUGUUAACCAGGCUGAGGUACUCAAAUCAACUAGAUGGAGAACAAACCUGGAGAAAGUUAACAUAACCAAGAGGACUAAACAUUCCAAAACGAAUGGGGUUACUUUGAACUCCAUACAAGUAAAACAGAAACCAAGAAACUUUGAGCAGAAGGAAAUUGGGGACGGUGACCGUUCCAAACUUUCCUUGCUGAAGAAGCCUGUCAAGCAACAACAAACUACAUCCAACCAACCGACCAUUGGUAGUCAGAUAUCAUGGAGUCCUCUAGUGCUGUUAACCAGAUUGUCUAAGGUGGUGGUUAAGACUCUUCGGAGAGAUACUAAAGUGUGUUUGGUGAAGGAAGAGACAGAUGCCAGGAGGGAUGAAGACAACAAGGGAGUCUUGUCUCCUCAGUUCUUUCCUUGUCCACACUGCACCAUCUCCUUUACUGACUGUUAUUUCCUAGAGAAUCACAUCAAGAACAAACACCAGAAGCAGUACCUGGCCAUGUUGAAAAGCCAAGUCUCAAAGAGUAAAAGAGUGUACGGCCCCACACACAGGCUGUCCCCACUGUAGCUGCAUGUUCCAUACACCACGACAGCUAGACAUUCAUACCCGCCAGGCCCACCCAUCUGCCCGUCCCCAGAAACCUGCCCAUCCCCGCAGGGUUCCGGGGAACUCCACCCUGCCCGCAGUGUGCCCGCAGAUUCCCUUACCUGGGCACCUGCUGAAGCACUGCAAGAAUUUCCACAAAAGGCCGUUGUUCGCAUCGAUGGACACCUCAGUUGCGCGGAGUGUGGGAAGAGCUUUGAGAAUUGUUGGGGACGGGGCCUCACCGGUGUCACGAACCAGAGGGCACUAAACCUAAGGACACUAAGCCUGUGAUAUGUCUGGAAGUCGGCUUCCAUUGCUCCGAGUGUGGCAAGAUCCUCACUACUCCUACAAGCCUGAACACUCACAUGCGCAUCCACACUGGAGAGAAGCCUUAUGAAGCAAGGAGUGCGGCAAAAUUCUCGAAUAGCAGCAGUUUAGGCAAACACCUGCUGAUACACAAGGGGUUCAAAGAAUUCAAAUGCCAGGAUUGUGGGAAGGCUUUCGCCCAGGCAAAUCUUCUCAGGAAUCACAUGACUGUUCACUCUGGUGAGAGAAAGUUCUCCUGCCCCAUUGUGACAAGCGGUAUGCAUACAGGGGUAGCUGGACUUCACCUGCGCACACACUCAGGGGAGAGACCUUUCAAAUACUGUAUGUGGUAAAGACUUUGCUGACAAAUGUUAUCUGAAAACACACCUGAAUAUCCACAAUAACCAGAAAACUACCAUUGUGGGGUUUGUGGGCGAAGUUCAUAAGGCUUGGGUUGUUGAAGUUACAUAUGCGCUCACACACCGGGGAGAGCCCUACCAUUGCACAGUGUGCGACAAGAAGUUUUUUAGACUCUCACACCUGAAGAACCCAUCUCACUCACACAGGUGAGAAACCAUACACCUGUACCGAGUGCGGUAAAAGCUUCACUCAGUCUGGAGAUCGGCUAAAACACAGCGCCACCACCUGGGAGAGGCCAUUUGAAUGUUCUGAAUGCCACAGCCGUUUUAUCUGUUCAGGUUUCUGACCCUGCACAUGAGACCCACAUCACCGUGAUGUAAAGCCAUUCUCCUGCCAAGAGUGUGGGAAGAGCUUUUAUGAACAGAGUCAUGUAAAAGUCCACAUGAAAUCCACAAUGGGAAACCGUAUUCUGCCCCCACUGCUUUUUUUGCUUUGCUCGAAGAGCAACCUUUCCAAUCACCUGUCUAGAUGUCCCAACUUAAAUGAGUUAAACCUAUGAAUGGGGGGGGGGGGGGGGGGGGUUGUCCCUUCAGGGUUGAUGCUGGACACAAUGCGAACUGUACCCCUACUGUGUAUGGUAACUCCAUAUCACAGAAUCUACCUAUGAUACCACAAUGUCUUUAGCAAUACUCCAAUAUGUUCAUAUACAUUAGAUUGUUAGUUACGUUUUUGUCUGUUUUUAACCUGUAUUUUAUGUUUUUAAAUUUGUACUGAAGGGACAGUGAUGUACAGAAGAUUGUUUGACUGAUUGUCCUAGUGAUUAGUAGGUGAUGAUGUUUCGAAAAGAUGAUGGGAUGUUUAUUUUCCUUUGUGUUUGUGGUGUAUACCUUGAUUUGGAAGAAGAAGAGCAUUUAUGUAAAGGUCACACCCCUAGUAUUGUUAUAAACAUGACAUUAGAUUCAUGGGGCUCCCGAGUGGCGCAGCGGUCUAAGGCACUGCAUCUCAGUGCUGGAGGCGUCACUAUAGACACCUGGUUCGAAUCCAGGCUGUAUCACAACCGGCUGUGAUCGGGAGUCCCAUAGGGCGGUGCACAAUUGGCCCAGCGUCGUCUGGGAUAGGCCGGUGUAGGCCAUCAGUGUAAAUAAAAACGUGUUCUUAACUGACUUGCCUAGUUAAAAAAAUUUUAAUGAAAGGUAAUUACAUAAAGACCACUUGAACAGUUGGAACACAUGAUUUGUAUCAGUCCAUAAGCCAUCAUUGGCCUGCACUGGUUGUAAUAUUGCAGUCCUAAACUUAUGAAGCCAUACUUCUGCCAAGAAUGUGGGAAAAGCUUCUAUGAACUGAAACACUUUAGAUGCCACAUGAGGACACAUGGGGGAGAUAUCAUACCCCUUCCCCCUUGCUUCUCCAGCUUCACUCACAAACCAAAUCUCUUGAAACACCUGCCUAAUGUUGUAAAUGAUCAUGAUUUGCCUUUUUUAUUUAACACCAUAUAUAAUGAAACGCAUUGUAUUCAUAGGUAUCACUUGGAGAUGACUCUGCCACUGUGAAAUUCUAAUGUUAUAAUGGAUCGUCAUUAGGUUAUAGUUACAUUGUUUAAUGAACUAUGUUUUGUACUUUUUCUGUAUUUUUUUCUUAAUUUCUUCGCUUUUUAAAUGAUAUACAUGAGAUUUGUAUGCCGACUCCUGGUGAUGACUGACAAUAAAGAUGCCAUAUUUCACAAACUGUCACGUCUGUUUUGUGCUUAAAGGUAGACUCAGUAAAAUGAAGUUGCCACGAGCAGCACCACAGAUAAUGCGAUGAGGGAG
ensembl:lncRNA